rnacentral:rRNA from 1 species
GGGCCCGCACAAGCGGUGGAGCAUGUGGUUUAAUUCGAUGAUACGCGAGGAACCUUACCAGGGCUUAAAUGCAGUUGGACAGGUCUGGAAACAGACCCUUCUUCGGACUAAUUGCAAGGUGCUGCAUGGUUGUCGUCAGCUCGUGCCGUGAGGUGUCAGGUUAAGUCCUAUAACGAGCGCAACCCCUGUGGUUAGUUGCCAGCGAGUCAUGUCGGGAACUCUAGCCAGACUGCCAGUGCAAACUGUGAGGAAGGUGGGGAUGACGUCAAAUCAUCACGGCCCUUACGUCCUGGGCCACACACGUGCUACAAUGGUAGGGACAGAGGGCAGCUACCCCGCGAGGGGAUGCGAAUCUUCAAACCCUAUCACAGUUCGGAUCGGAGUCUGCAACUCGACUCCAUGAAGUCGGAAUCGCUAGUAAUCG